AGAGUUGAUCAUGGCUCAGGAUGAACGCAGCGACAGGCUUAACACAUGCAAGUCGAGGGCAGCAUAAAAGUAGCAAUACGUUGGUGGCGACCGGCGCACGGGUGAGUAACGCGUAUGCAACCUACCUAUCAGGAGGGGAAUAACCCGGCGAAAGUCGGACUAAUACCGCAUAAAACAGGGGCACCACAUGGUGAUAUUUGUUAAAGAAAUUCGCUGAUAGAUGGGCAUGCGUUCCAUUAGGUAGUUGGUGAGGUAACGGCUCACCAAGCCGACGAUGGAUAGGGGAACUGAGAGGUUGGUCCCCCACACUGGUACUGAGACACGGACCAGACUCCUACGGGAGGCAGCAGUGAGGAAUAUUGGUCAAUGGGCGAGAGCCUGAACCAGCCAAGUCGCCGUGAAGGAAGAAGGAUCUAUGGUUCGUAAACUUCUUUUGCAGGGGAAUAAAGUGCAGGACGUGUCCUGUUUUGUAUGUACCCUGAGAAUAAGGAUCGGCUAACUCCGUGCCAGCCGCCGC
rnacentral:rRNA from 1 species